rnacentral:rRNA from 1 species
UGGAUCCAGACUUUGAUUAUGGCUCAGGAUGAACGCUAGCUACAGGCUUAACACAUGCAAGUCGAGGGGAAACGACAUCGAAAGCUUGCUUUUGAUGGGCGUCGACCGGCGCACGGGUGAGUAACGCGUAUCCAACCUGCCCACCACUUGGGGAUAACCUUGCGAAAGUAAGACUAAUACCCAAUGAUAUCUCUAGAAGGCAUCAGAAAGAGAUUAAAGAUUUAUCGGUGAUGGAUGGGGAUGCGUCUGAUUAGCUUGUUGGCGGGGUAACGGCCCACCAAGGCUACGAUCAGUAGGGGUUCUGAGAGGAAGGUCCCCCACAUUGGAACUGAGACACGGUCCAAACUCCUACGGGAGGCAGCAGUGAGGAAUAUUGGUCAAUGGGCGAGAGCCUGAACCAGCCAAGUAGCGUGCAGGACGACGGCCCUAUGGGUUGUAAACUGCUUUUAUAAGGGAAUAAAGUGAGUCUCGUGAGACUUUUUGCAUGUACCUUAUGAAUAAGGACCGGCUAAUUCCGUGCCAGCAGCCGCGGUAAUACGGAAGGUCCGGGCGUUAUCCGGAUUUAUUGGGUUUAAAGGGAGCGUAGGCCGGAGAUUAAGCGUGUUGUGAAAUGUAGAGGCUCAACCUCUGCACUGCAGCGCGAACUGGUCUUCUUGAGUACGCACAACGUGGGCGGAAUUCGUGGUGUAGCGGUGAAAUGCUUAGAUAUCACGAAGAACUCCGAUUGCGAAGGCAGCUCACGGGAGCGCAACUGACGCUGAAGCUCGAAAGUGCGGGUAUCGAACAGGAUUAGAUACCCUGGUAGUCCGCACGGUAAACGAUGGAUGCCCGCUGUUGGCCUGAAUAGGUCAGCGGCCAAGCGAAAGCAUUAAGCAUCCCACCUGGGGAGUACGCCGGCAACGGUGCAACUCAAAUGAAUUGACGGA